AUGGUUACAACUUUUGUAACCUUUCAGCUUAUCAAUCCACAAUCUCUUCCCUUUCUCUCUCAACAAUUUGUGGCACAACUGAACUUCUUCUUCUCCGAUCUGUCGCCAUUGGGACAAAAUUCUCUCUGCUGUAACCAGAAAUCUCUGUCUCCGUACCCUAACUCAAAUCUCAACCUUGUUUUCCCUAAUUCCUCAUCAAUCUCUGAAUCAAGUUUGUGGAAGAAGACGCUCAUAAAUGGAGAUUGA